rnacentral:rRNA from 1 species
GCCGACUGGUCGGGGACAGAUUAACAGGAUUAGAUACCCUGGUAGUCCACGCCGUAAACGAUGGGCACUAGGUGCCGGGGGGAACGACCCCUUCGGUGCCGCAGCUAACGCGUUAAGUGCCCCGCCUGGGGAGUACGGCCGCAAGGCUGAAACUCAAAGGAAUUGACGGGGGCCCGCACAAGCGGUGGAGCACGUGGUUUAAUUCGAAGCAACGCGAAGAACCUUACCUGGGUUUGACAUGCUGGUGAAAGCCCGGUGAAAGCCGGGCCCUCCUUCGGGACACCAGCACAGGUGCUGCAUGGCUGUCGUCAGCUCGUGUCGUGAGAUGUUGGGUUAAGUCCCGCAACGAGCGCAACCCUUGCCCCGUGUUACUAACAGGUAAAGCUGAGGACUCUCGGGGGACUGCCGGCGUCAAGCCGGAGGAAGGUGGGGACGACGUCAAGUCAUCAUGGCCCUUACGCCCAGGGCUACACACGUGCUACAAUGGCCAGGACAGAGGGCUGCAAGACGGCAACGUGGAGCGAAUCCCAUAAACCUGGUCUAAGUUCGGAUUGCGGGCUGCAACUCGCCCGCAUGAAGCCGGAAUCGCUAGUAAUCGCGGAUCAGCUACGCCGCGGUGAAUACGUUCCCGGGCCUUGUACACACCGCCCGUCACGCCAUGGAAGCCGGGAGUGCCCGAAGUCCGUGUCCUAACCCGCAAGGGAGGGAGCGGCCGAAGGCAAGCUCGGUGACUGGGGCGAAGUCGUAACAAGGUAAUCAAUCU